rnacentral:lncRNA from 1 species
CCAUGAUCAGGGAAAAAUUUGUGCCAUGAUUCACUACCUGCUAUCUCAGGAAUGAUCACAUUUCAUCAUCAUUUCAUUAUAUUUCCAAUCUACCAAAGUCAAGAUUAUGUUGGAUUUAUGCUCGCAUUAAUGGCAUAACAGUUUUACUGCUAAAGAAGUUUGAUUAAAAAAUAAUACAACAAAAGGCACGUUGUGGAAGAGAGGGAAGAAGAAACUUGGAGAGGUUGAGACUGUGACCUCACAUGACUGUCGUUGGGAAUGUAAGAUUGAUUAGAGG